UUCUCCCAUUAUGAAAAAAAAAUUCAAUUAUAAAAAAUCAUACUUAGAUUUAAGUAAUGUCAAUAAAAAUGAUUAUAAUAAGCAAAUUUCAAUUAAUAAUACUAAUGAGAUAUGUGAAUUUUUUACUAGUAUAACUACUAAUCAGAAAGACAUAAGCAAAAAAUAUGAACAAUUAUUUACAUUGAUAAAAAAAUUUGGAAAAGAAAUAAAAUACUUAUUAAACAAAACUGAUGAAUACAAUGAUACUUUAGUAGACACAAAAGAUUAUAUAAAUAGAGUCAAAAAAAACUUAAGUGCUUCUGCUGCUAAUGAAUUUGAAAGUAUAGAAAUCAAAUUAUCGGAAGAUCGGAAUAAUGUAGACGUGUUAGGAAGAAUUGUAAGUUACAUAUUUGAAAAAAUACAAAAUGUUGAUAAAAAUUUAUAUGAAUGUAAUAAAAAGAUAGAACAAGUAAAAAAAAGCUUAGGUACUACAGAAGAAUUUAAUAAACUGGAAAAGAAAUUAACAUUAAGAAGUGAAGAAAUAAAAAAAGACUUGGUAAACAAUAUAAAUUCUUUUAAAGAAAAAGAUUUUAAAGUUAUGAUGAGAGAAGAUCGAAAUGUUUAUAAACAGAACUUAGAAAAUAUGAAUAAAAAGUUGCAUCAUAUAAUUUUAAAAUUUGUAUUAUGUGAUCAAAAAUAUAAAAUUAAAAAAAAAAAAUUUUGUUUUUGGUUAAAAAUUAUGAAUAGCAAAAAAGAAGCAAGAGAAAAGAUAAUAAAAAUUAUUUCUUCUAAACAAUAUUCUUUAAUAUUAUUUUGUUUAAAAAAAUUAAAAAAUCAUUGUUUUGAAAAGGUAAUGAUAAAUAAAAUUAUUUCUUUAGUAAAUAGAGACUCGAGUGUUAGUGCUAACCGUAAUUAUAAUAGUAAUAAUAGUAACAAUAUAAUGAAUGAAACAGUUGGUGAUAGUUAUAAUUGUAGUAGUGAAUAUAAUGAGCGUGGUAGUUGUAACAGUUUUAAAGAAGAGGAAGAAGAAGAAGGAGAAGAAGAAGAAGAAGAAGAAGAAGUUGUUGGUGGCAGAGAAAAAAAAAAGAAUAGCACUUUUUCAAAGUUUUCAGAAAGUAAUAAUACAACUAAAUAUGUUGAUACAUCUACCUUAAAUUACAAUUUUUAUUCAAAUAAAUUAGCACAAAAAAACGAAUCAGGAUAUUAUGAUAGAAAAAAUACUGCUAGUACAACACGUAAAAGUGAUAUAACGAAUUUAUAUGAUGAUAUAGAUAAUAUCUCAGUAAAUAGCAAAGAUAAAACAGUAUGUUAUAAUGAUGAGUAUAAUAAUAGUAUUAGUACUAUUAAUGCAUAUGGUAAAAAAAAUUCUAGUGCUAUUAAUUAUGUACCAUAUAAUAAAAAAUAUGGUACUAAUAUUACGGCAGAAGAGAUAUAUGAUAAAAUAUAUAAUAAACUGAAAGAAAAAGCUGACCAGAGCAAUUUCGAAAUGCUACAUGAAACAGUAAAAAGAAUGAAUAAUAAAAUUAAUAGCUUAAAAGCAGAAUUAGAAAAACAAAAAGAAAUAAAUGAACAGCUAGAUAAAAAUAGAAACAUAGAAAAAUUAUCUUCUAAUUAUAAAAAUAAUUCAAUAGAAAAAAUAUACAAAUCAGCUUAUACUAAUUUAGGCGAAAAUAGUAACACGUUGAAUAUGCUUAGCGAAAAAGAAUUGAACGAAUAUUUAUUAAGCAAAAACAAAUUACUAAAAUAUGGAAGUACUGUUGAUAGUUUUCAAAAUAAAGGAAUAAUCAAAAAAGGGAAUGACAAUUACCGAAAUGUAAAUCAAUUUACUAACGGUAAUAAUAAAGAAAUAGAUAAUACUAUAAAACAAAAAACAACUUAUGAUAAUUCCGAAAAGUGGAAUCGAAAUAAUAACAGUAGCAGUAAUAGUAAAAAAUAUUCUAAAUAUAAUUCUGUAGAUAUAGUUAAUAACGAUAAUACAUACUACUAUAAUCAAACAAAAUUUAAAAAUAGAGAGCACAGUAGUUCACGCAUAAAUCAUGAUAUUAACGACCAUAAUAAUGAUAAUUAUGAUAAUAGUAUGCUUAGAAAGGAUGAACAUGCAUACAACAGAUAUGUAAGUAGUGGUAAAAAAAGCGACAUAGGGAGUUUCUUGAAUAAUUGUAUGGACAGAGACAUCCAAAGAGAAAUUCAAAGAGGCACAAGAAAUGACUUACGACGAGAUACAGAUAAGGAUACACGAAAUGGAACAAAAAGAGAUACACGAAGUGAAACAGAAAGAGAUACACGAAAUGAAACAAAAAGAGAUACACGAAGUGAAACAGAAAGAGAUACACGAAGUGAAACAAAAAGAGAUACACGAAGUGAAACAAAAAGAGAUACACGAAGUGAAACAAAAAGAGAUACACGAAAUGAAACAAAAAGAGAUACACGAAAUGAAACAAAAAGAGAUACACGAAGUGAAACAAAAAGAGAUACACGAAGUGAAACAGAAAGAAAUAUACGAAAUGGUAAGGAUGUGAAUCUUGAUAAAAAUACUAAAAGAGAAUUAUUAGAAAAUAGCACUGGCAGUUUUUCACCAUUAGAUCAUAAAUUUUAUUUAAGGACUGGUGGUGGGUAUAGAAAUUUAAGUGAACAUGACAAAAGAAAUUAUAUAGAAAAAUUAAAUUACUUGAAUGAAAAUCAUUUAUUAGGCUGUGAAGCCAAAAUAAAUAUUAAAAUAUUAGGUCCUCCAUUUAUGCAAAACAUACCUGCUACUGUUACUACUGGUAGUAGUAACAAUAAAUAUACUCAACAUGUGAGUACAAAAGAUAAAAGACACAGAUCACUUUCGAAGUGUUACCGCAAGUAUUAAAAAAAAAGAAGAAAGUGGGGGAAAUGUACAAAUAUAAUGAAACGCGAAAACGUAUUACACAGUUUGUCACAGUAUAGUAUAGUAUGACAUAGUAUGACAAUAGUAGUAUAAAAACAUGACACAAUGGAAACUUUUUGUUUUAUCGGAUCCUAUGUAAUUUAACAAAUACUAUAUUAAGAGGAAAUUUUUUUUUU
rnacentral:lncRNA from 1 species